rnacentral:rRNA from 1 species
UACGUAGGGUGCGAGCGUUAUUCGGAAUUACUGGGCGUAAAGCGCGCGUAGGUGGUUUGUUAAGUUUGAUGUGAAAGCCCCGGGCUCAACCUGGGAACUGCAGCCAAAACUGGCAAGCUAGAGUACGGUAGAGGGUGGUGGAAUUUCCUGUGUAGCGGUGAAAUGCGUAGAUAUAGGAAGGAACACCAGUGGCGAAGGCGGCCACCUGGACUGAUACUGACACUGAGGUGCGAAAGCGUGGGGAGCAAACAGG